ensembl:snRNA U6 U6 spliceosomal RNA
GUGCUUGCUUUCACAGCACCUAUACUAAAUUUGGAAUAAUACAGAGAAGAUUAGCAUGGUACCUACACAAGGAAAAGUCACAAAUUCGUGAAGCAUUCCACAUGUUU